AUUGAACGCUGGCGGCGGGCUUAACACAUGCAAGUCGAGCGGAGAUGAGGUGCUUGCACCUUAUCUUAGCGGCGGACGGGUGAGUAAUGCUUAGGAAUCUGCCUAUUAGUGGGGGACAACAUUCCGAAAGGAAUGCUAAUACCGCAUACGUCCUACGGGAGAAAGCAGGGGAUCUUCGGACCUUGCGCUAAUAGAUGAGCCUAAGUCGGAUUAGCUAGUCGGUGGGGUAAAGGCCUACCAAGGCGACGAUCUGCAGCGGGGCUGAGAGGAUGAGCCGCCAGACUGGGGCUGAGACACGGCCCAGACUCCUCCGGGGGGCAGCAGUGGGGAAUAUUGGACAAUGGGGGAAACCCUGAUCCAGCCAUGCCGCGUGUGUGAAGAAGGCCUUAUGGUUGUAAAGCACUUUAAGCGAGGAGGAGGCUACUGAGACUAAUACUCUUGGAUAGUGGACGUUACUCGCAGAAUAAGCACCGGCUAACUCUGUGCCAGCCGCCCCGUAA
rnacentral:rRNA from 1 species